AAAAAAUAUUACGCUAAGCCAUCGGAAGACGAAAAAAUGGAGCAAUGGAAGGUGAAAACUCCCGGUCGCCAGAUGAGUGCAAAUGCCAAUCAGAGAGAUAAAUACUCCGAUACGGAGCCGAUGAAGGAGCUGUCAGGACAUCCUGUGCCCGAAUAAUUUAAGAGCUUUACCAGCGACGCAGGAGUCCAUGGAAAUUUAUAUUGCGCGCUCUAAGAUGCAAGGAUUUGCGGCUCGUAAGGACUUAUACGAUACGCGAGGUUGUGUAAUUGACAAGAGCCAAACGGCGCGUGGUAUGGCUCCAAUUAAGGGGGGACUGAACGGAAUCUGCGGAAAGCUCCCGGCCGACACUCAUUCUGUGGCUGAGUCGGCAUCGAUUGUGAAAGGAUGCAAACUUCUCCGCUGUCGAGAAAAUUCAAGAAGCAGUAAGCUGUCGAGAAGCAGUGAGCUCCCACGUUCACAAUCCAGGAUUAUUGCGACAAGGACCAGAGGAGGAUAUUGAAUGAGACAAAUGUCGCCACCAUUAUAAAGCUGCCCAUCACCGAAUUCAUAGCCUCGAUCACGCGUGGGAACUCGCGUGGUUGCAAACGACCGGUAUAAUGACCGUCGUUAAAAUCCAGGGAAUUGAAAGCCACGUGCCAUUCAUCCGAGCGUUGUCAUUAAGAAAAUUAUUAGCUGCUGAUCUGUGCUCGUCUCUCUUGCCACAGUCAUUUUUCGUCUUGUUUUGUAUCUUUUGUGCUGUGCCGAACCGAUUGCUGUAACUGUAUCAUGUGCUCGGAUUAUCGUUCGAAUUCGAGGUUACCUUCAUAAAUAACAUUCUUUGCUCGGAACACGAAUUAUUGUACGCUGUCGAUUUGUCAGGAAUAUUUAGUCGUUGUACUUCCGAAAGUGAUCGUUCGAAAAGUUAAGAUCUUAAGAUAUAAAGUAUGAUCGUUGAAUCGACGUUAGAAAUAAGUUAUAAUUGUCCGCGGAAGUAGAUCUUGUCAAAUUCAAUUUAGGGAGCAAGACGGCAAAUAUUGAUUGUAACUCGAUUCAUUAAAUAUUAUUAUUAUUUCUUUCAUUAUUAA